UCAAAAACAUAGCCUUUAGCCCCACAAGUAUUAAAGGUCCCGCCUGCCCAGUGACUCUUUAAACGGCCGCGGUAUCCUAACCGUGCAAAGGUAGCAUAAUCACUUGUCCCUUAAAUAGGGACUGGAAUGAACGGCUAAAUGAGGAUUAAACUGUCUCUUGCGAGCCGGUCAAUGAAUUUGAUUUUCCAGUUCAAAAGCUGGAAUAAACACAUAAGACGAGAAGACCCUGUGGAGCUUCAAAACCUAGUUCACCAAAUAAUGCUUCCUUCGGUUUUUAGUUGGGGCGACUUCGGAGCACAAAAAAACCUCCAAAACAUGUAAACCCAUUAUAUUAAGAUCAACAAACCACAAAACCACAAGAUCCAGCAACAGCCCUAAAUGUUGUCUGACCAAUGAACCAAGUUACCCCAGGGAUAACAGCGCCAUCCCCUUCUAGAGUCCCUAUCGACAAGGGGGUUUACGACCUCGAUGUUGGAUCAGGACACCCCAAUGGUGCAGCCGCCACUAAAGGUUCGUUUGUUCAACGAUUAAAGUCCUA
rnacentral:rRNA from 1 species